rnacentral:rRNA from 1 species
UACAGGGGGGGCAAGCGUUGUUCGGAAUUACUGGGCGUAAAGGGCGCGUAGGCGGCUGUACAAGUCAAAGGUGAAAUCCCUCAGCUCAACUGAGGAAGUGCGCCCGAAACUGCAGAGCUUGAGUACCGGAGAGGAUGGCGGAAUUCCCCAAGUAGAGGUGAAAUUCGUAGAUAUGGGGAGGAACACCGGUGGCGAAGGCGGCCAUCUGGACGGAUACUGACGCUGAGACGCGAAAGCGUGGGGAGCAAACAGG